rnacentral:rRNA from 1 species
GAUGAACGCUGGCGGCGUGCCUAAUACAUGCAAGUCGAGCGAACGGACGAGAAGCUUGCUUCUCUGAUGUUAGCGGCGGACGGGUGAGUAACACGUGGAUAACCUACCUAUAAGACUGGGAUAACUUCGGGAAACCGGAGCUAAUACCGGAUAAUAUUUUGAACCGCAUGGUUCAAAAGUGAAAGACGGUCUUGCUGUCACUUAUAGAUGGAUCCGCGCUGCAUUAGCUAGUUGGUAAGGUAACGGCUUACCAAGGCAACGAUGCAUAGCCGACCUGAGAGGGGAAGCGGCCAACUGGAAAAUGAGCCAGGGCCAAGACCCCCAGGGGAGGCAGCAGAGGGGAAUUUUCCGAAAGGGGAGAAAGCCGGACGGGGAAACGCCGGGGGGGGUAUGAAGGUUUUGGGAUCGAAAAACUUUUUUAUUAGGAAAAAAAAAUUGUGAAAGAAACUGGGAAAAUUUUGACGGUACCAAAUCAAAAAGCAACGGCAAACUACGU